ACCUCCGCGAGUUUUAUGACUUAAAAAAGCCCACAGGCUGGUCUGAAGAGGAAGACAAACAUAAAGAUGAAGUGCUUAAUUCAAGGUCACACAAUGUCGGGGAUGGACCUCCAGAUUUCCUUACUGGUGAGACGUGGUCUUGUAACACAGUGGUUAAGAAUGUGACUUUGGAGCCAGCCUGCUAGGGGCUGAAUUCUGACUCAGCCAUUUACUAACUGUGUGACCUUAGGGAGGAGGACCUGGUUGAUAGAAGAAUUUAUCUCGUAGUCUUAACAUCCACUGUAAUUCCAAACUUUGAGGACGAUAGAGAUCAGUGGGCUUUGACUGCCCAGCAUGCAGUCUCCAUUCUUAGGUCACAGAAUUUUCCACACUCCUUGACAGAGGUGCUUAACCCUUAUCCAUCAGCAUUCUCAGACAGCACCUCCGGUUAGGGACAGUAUCUGACCGUCCGACAUCCCUGCAGCCCCCAUGUGUCACACAGACUCAGCCUCAGGUAGAUGGUUUCCGUAGAUGGUGGCUUUCUUUGGACCCUUGACAUCAACCAGUUACUAUUUGGGGACCAGAUGUGCAGAGGUAAUGAAUACCAGGGAAUCA
rnacentral:lncRNA from 1 species